CGCCCGGGAACUACAAGCGCCAGCUUAAAACCCAAAGGACUUGGCGGUGCCUUACACCCACCUAGAGGAGCCUGUUCUAGAACCGAUAACCCCCGUUCAACCUCACCACCUCUUGUCGUCCCCGCCUAUAUACCGCCGUCGUCAGCUUACCCUGUAAAGGACCCAUAGUAAGCAAAAUGGGCACAGCCCGGAACGUCAGGUCGAGGUGUAGCGUAUGGGGUGGAAAGAAAUGGGCUACAUUUCCUGGACCAGGAUAUCACGGAAGGUGUUAUGAAACCCACACCCUAAGGUGGAUUUAGCAGUAAGAGGGGAGCAGAGCGCCCCCCUGAA
rnacentral:rRNA from 1 species